AGGGAAUCUUCCACAAUGGGCGAAAGCCUGAUGGAGCAACGCCGCGUGAGUGAAGAAGGAUUUCGGUUCGUAAAACUCUGUUGUAAGGGAAGAACAAGUACAGUAGUAACUGGCUGUACCUUGACGGUACCUUAUUAGAAAGCCACGGCUAACUACGUGCCAGCAGCCGCGGUAAUACGUAGGUGGCAAGCGUUGUCCGGAAUUAUUGGGCGUAAAGCGCGCGCAGGUGGUUUCUUAAGUCUGAUGUGAAAGCCCACGGCUCAACCGUGGAGGGUCAUUGGAAACUGGGAGACUUGAGUGCAGAAGAGGAUAGUGGAAUUCCAAGUGUAGCGGUGAAAUGCGUAGAGAUUUGGAGGAACACCAGUGGCGAAGGCAGGUUACUACUAAUAUAUUGACGCUGAUGGACGAAAGCGUGGGGAGCGAACA
rnacentral:rRNA from 1 species